UACUUGACACAUUUAUUUAAUUCUUAACUUUUUCUCUCGUCCAGUGCUGACUUCAGCUUCCUUUUCCUGGUCUAUCGAAUUUUAAUGAUCCCUGUUUGGACUGGUGUAGCCAAUAGCUACAAGUUCAAAGCUUCAGGGCACCUGCGUGGAGCGACUCCGGAGUCAUCCGCGGCAAUCAUGAAACAAUCAUGGAUUCUGAUGUACAGAAAAGGGGAGAAGAGGAGCCCUGGUGACCAUGGUGACCACAGUUGACAGGUGACAGUUACGUAGCGCAUUCCGGGCUUGAGCUGGCUAGUGCUAAAAUGGAAGUGCUUGAAAAUGUCGCCCCAGAUCGAGCCUACCGGAACAGCACUCAGCAGACAUGCCAACAGUCCCGAGCACAAAAAGUACACCUGAAGGAUGCGUUGCGUAAGGAUCGUUACUUGCAAAACAAAAAGAAUACUGUCGGUAUUAUUUGUUGGACUGUUCAUCUUCAUAACGUUUCCUCAAUCCACAUCUCCAUUGCAGCGUUUUCUAUCCACUUGUAAACAACUCUAUCCCCGAACAAGCUCUCAUACAAGCACGACAAGAAUAAACUUCCUGCUGUUCAUCCAUUUCUUUAGUUGUUUGCAAUUCCAUGUACGUUUAAUGGAGCAGCCAUGUAUCAAAGCCUUUGUACUUCUUGUGAACUGUUGGCAUGUCUGCCGAGUGCUGGGUAGGCUUGAUUUGGGGUGACAUUUCCACGCACUUACAUUUUAGCACUAUCCAGCUCGCCAACAGUAUUGAUCUCUGCGUGCAUAGCCUUGCUGCAUUCCCAACUCACUCACUAUCCGUAUCCAUGUUCUGCUAUCCAUUCAUGCCAUGGACAUGAGACUCUUUUACGGGCAAACAGAAUACAAAACCAUUCAUACCGGUCUCAAAUUCACGAAAUGUUACAUAAUUUUAUUUUUCCCUUCAAGUAUUAAUUUUGUAUUGUAGUUGCAGCUUUUGACACUUUCCCCAUAUUCUCUGCAUCAACCUUUUUGCCACCAGCUGGGGGCGUUUCAACCCGCUGUACCCUGAUAUGUCGUUCGUUUUCGCCAGUU